UACGUAUGGUGCAAGCGUUGUUCGGAUUUACUGGGCGUAAAGAGCGCGCAGGCGGAUGAUUAAGUCGGGUGUGAAAUCUCCAGGCUUAACCUGGAGGCUGCAUCCGAAACUGGUGAUCUGGAGUCCCGGAGAGGCAGACGGAAUACUUGGUGUAGCGGUGAAAUGCGUAGAUAUCAAGUGGAACACCGAUGGCGAAGGCGGCUUCCUGGACCGAUACUGACGCUGAGACGCGAAAGCGUGGGGAGCAAACAGG
rnacentral:rRNA from 1 species